rnacentral:rRNA from 2 species
GGAGCGGCGGACGGGUUAGUAACGCGUGGGAACGUACCCAGAUCUAAGGAAUAGCCUCGGGAAACUGAGAGUAAUACCUUAUACGCCCUUAGGGGGAAAGAUUUAUCGGAUUUGGAUCGGCCCGCGUUAAAUUAAAUAGUUGGGGGGGUAAUGGCCUACCAAGUCUACGAUCUAUAGCUGGUUUUAAAGGAUGAUCAGCAACACUGGGACUGAGACACGGCCCAAACUCCUACGGGAGGCAGCAGUGGGGAAUCUUGGACAAUGGGCGCAAGCCUGAUCCAGCCAUGCCGCGUGAGUGAUGAAGGCCUUAGGGUCGUAAAGCUCUUUCGCCUGUGAAGAUAAUGACGGUAGCAGGUAAAGAAACCCCGGCUAACUCCGUGCCAGCAGCCGCGGUAAUACGGAGGGGGUUAGCGUUGUUCGGAAUUACUGGGCGUAAAGCGCGCGUAGGCGGGCUAUUAAGUUAGGGGUGAAAUCCCAGGGCUCAACCCUGGAACUGCCUCUAAUACUGGUAGCCUAGAGUUCGAGAGAGGUGAGUGGAAUUCCGAGUGUAGAGGUGAAAUUCGUAGAUAUUCGGAGGAACACCAGUGGCGAAGGCGGCUCACUGGCUCGAUACUGACGCUGAGGUGCGAAAGUGUGGGGAGCAAACAGGA